rnacentral:rRNA from 1 species
UCACUGAUCAUCCCCACGGCAUGGAGCACUUGGAAGCAUCGGAACGCCGUCCUCUUCGAUGGAGAAACUCCAUCCCAUCCCCAUCUCAUGGAAACCAUCCAGCAAGAGGCUGCACGCGGGGCGAAGGCCGGCGCCAAAGGGCUACACCGAAUUCUACAUGUAACCCAACUUAGCACUUCGAGGCUGAGCAACCUCUCCUUCUGCUCACUUGCUCUCUUGGCGCCGCCAGCUCGUUGUGUACGGCCGCAAGAGAAGCACACUUGUAUGUAA